GACGAACGCUGGCGGCGUGCUUAACACAUGCAAGUCGAACGGAAAGGCCCGGCUCUUGUGGGGUGCUCGAGUGGCGAACGCGUGAGUAACACGUGAGUAACCUGCCCUUGACUUUCGGAUAACUUCAGGAAACUGGGGCUAAUACCGGAUAGGAGCUCCUGCUGCACGGUGGUGGUUGGAAAGUUUCGGCGGUUGGGGAUGGACUCGCUGCUUAUCAGCUUGUUGGUGGGGUAGUGGCUUACCAAGGCUUUGACGGCUAGCCGGCCUGAGAGGGUGGACGGGGACAUUGGGACUGAGGUACGGCGCAGACUGGUACGGGAGGCAGCGGGGGGGAGUAUUGCACAGUGGGCGGAAGCGUGAUGCGGAGGCGCCGGGUGCGGGAUGACGGCCUUCGGGUUGAGAACCGCUGUCGCCUGUGGCGAAGCGGGAGUGACGGUAAUGGGUCAAGAAGCACCGGCUAACUACGUG
rnacentral:rRNA from 1 species